UUAGUUCAUAUAUUUGAGUCUUUGUUUCCUCAUCUAGAAGAUGUAGUAAAGAUAAAUGAGGUCAUAUAUGAUUGUCCCUGGCAUAAUAUUUUGGUACUUAUUGAAAAGCAGCUAUUGUUUUAAGUCCUUUGCAUAUACAUUUCUAUGAUUUACUAUAUAUCAGUAGCAUUUCUCCAACCCAUCUUGGCUAGGCAAGCACCACUGAAUAUGAAGGAGGCCAAAUAGAAUGAUACUAUCCAAGCUGCAAAGAAACAAACAAAAGAAAACAUCUAAAUGCAUGCCUCUUUGGAAUGGCAUUUGCAUCCGUUGCCAAUAUCCAUAGAACAAAUGCCUUCAGGCAGGAGAAGUUGGGAUAAUGUCAAUGUUUUUAAUAGCUGUAGUAGAGUCCUAUUUAGAAAGCAGUAAUUAUCUCUCCAUAUUGAUUUUUUACAUCCCCUCAAUAAAUCCAGAAGAAAUGUGAAGACCAUCUGUAAGUGUGAUUUUUACCAGGAUCAGACUCUAAUUUGCAAUGGCUAUGUGUCUGUUUGAUUUAGAUCAGGGGUUAGCAAACUGCAGCCCACAAGCCAAAACUACCUCCCCCAUCUAUUUUUAUAAAUAAAGUUUUAUUGGAACACACCCAUCACACCCAUUUCUUUAUAUCUGUGGCUGCUUUCAUGCUACCAUGGUUGUUUUAUUUAAUUGUAACAGAGAUCUAAGAGAUCUAGAGCCCAUAUUGCCCACAGAGCUGAAAACAUAUGUACAUCUAACCCUUUGCAGGAAAAAACUUGUUAAAUCAUGAUUGAGAUUAUAGUAGUAUUAUUUCUGAUUGACUAGGUAGUAAUUGGUCCCAGCAUGUAAAGUUUCUAAUAUUAAAGUCACACGAUAGAGGAGCUAGAGGCUUAAGAAAAGUAUACAUGAAUUUAUUUAUUUGGAAUAGGAAGGGAAACAUCCCUGGUAUCAUCAUGAUGGCAUAUAGAGGCAGGGCUGAGAGCUAGAAUACAGAAUACGUCCUUUGCUAGAAACAGUUUCUCGGGCUGGGUUAGAGUGGGUAGAAACUAUGGAUCAUCCUGCCGCAGGUCCAAGUAAACAGGAUUUGGCGCUCUACAUAAUGGCUAUAAAGAAACAUAAAGGUGAUUUCUCCAAGUGUUAUGCUAGGUGAGAAAUAUUUAAUAAGUAAGAGCAAUCAGAAUUGGUCCCAUAUUGAGAAAGUCUGUUUUGGAGCCCAGACUAAAUAGACUGUGCAGUGAGAAAUGAAAGGUCAAUUUAGGUAACUUCAUUUAGGGCAAAAUCAUGACUUAGGAAAUCAUGACUAGAUAAAUAUCCAGUGAAGAGCAGGGAGAGAAGAUUCAUCAAUGGCCGUAGGUUGCUGUGAACUACAGAACUGAAACAUCAAUGUAUGAAUAAAGUGCUGUAUUGAUGGACAGAUGUGUGCAUUUUUAUGUAUAUGCCAUAAAAAAUCUGAAUCAAUUUCUAUUUGAAAUAGAGAAAAGCUAGUUCAGAUGUUAGAAACUUUUCUGACGCAAAAUAUUGUGUAAUUCAUAAACAAUUCCUUGUGUUUUAGUUUACAGUAUGUCCAGAAUAUAGGACUUGCCUACUGUAAUGUAUAAAACAAAAGAACUUCAGGUUGAUUUAUUUGUUAAGUAGUAGACAUUCUCCUAGGAUGUUUAUGUUUGUGAAGAUGAUAAAUGGAAGAAUACAUCCACAGAAAAUGUAGACACAGGCCCUUCUCUCCCAGUCUCAACACCACACCCUACACACACACAAUGCCUUCCUUCUAACCUUGUCUAUACUGUCUCUGCAACACACAAAGCAUAUGCCCAGGAUAAGCUUCUCUUUCAACCACCUAUCAGGCUUUCAACAUGUGGUUUGAAAAGAUAGUGACAUUGCUAUGCUCUGACAUACACCGUAAUGUCAGUACAGCAGAAGCAAGUGGAAGAUUCUACUUUUCCGAUAAAGAUCAGUUGCUGUUUCCUGUCUUGAAGACGAAAGUUGAGCAAAAGCAAAGGUCAUCUGUGUUUAUAUUAACAAUGUAAGAGUUAUACUACAUUUUCGCAACAACAUCAGGUCAUUAUUUAUCCACUUGUCCUUUUUUUUUUUAUCAUUCCUUUGAACUGCCUGCAUUUGCUUAUCGUGAUAUUUCUCAGUCUGUAAACAGCCCGAGUAGCUGUUCUAUUUCUCUAAAUAGAGUCUUAGGUCAUUUUAUUAUCCAGAAUUGUAAGUCAUCAGAAUGCACCCAUCUGUUGUCCUUCCACAUCUGGGCUAACUUUAACUCUUUAAGCCCAUAGAAAAAGUAGAAAAGCCAUUGUGAUAUGAGUUUGAUACUUUUUUCCUACCAUACUGCUUUCCAGCAUAUGGUUUUCCCUGAAAAAUCACAAGGAAAUAUUUACAAAUAUCUUAUUUUUCUUUGGACAUGGCAUUAAACGUGGUAGAUCCUCCAUCUCCACUUGGCUCUUUCUGAUUUUCUGUUACCCUAAUUAUCCUUCCUGCGAUCACAGCUGCUCAGAGCCUCUUCUUACCAAUUUAAAAAACCUCUAAAGAUGUGACGGCUGCCUUUCCAGUGGCCAACAAGCAGAUUUCCAUAGCAGAGGAGCUGCGACUGGGGCAGAGAGCCAAAGACAGCUUGUGCCAACAGCCUUGUCAAUAUGCCAAUCAUCUUGUUACAGUUUAUUACAUGCGUGACUUGAUUUUCUUGCAUGUGCGUUUUAGAGGUAACAACAUAUUGGUAAACCUGUUUUCAAUCCUUUUGAUUACCUUCAAUUUGAUAGCUCCUUCAGUAAUGAAGAAAAAAAUGGGCUAUUGUGUUUGAAUUACAUUUAUCAAAUGAUUCUAAGAUUGUUCUAACGUGUGCGACAGGAUAAGCUCUCUUUUAGUCACCAAUUGGAGAAAUAUGCUCAGUGUCAAGGAAAUGGAGAAAUGCCUCAUUAUUUAUGUUGACUAAUGUAUAAAUACAAUAUGAACAGGGGCGGUUUCAACCCUGCAAACGUUUUCUUCCAAGUUGCUCUGUAUUUUAGCUAGACUAGACUAGAUUGUUCAGUGGUCACAAACUACCCCAAAAUCUUAACAGUUUACAACAACGGAAGUUUAUUUUCUAAAUAUAUAACAUCCACUGAGUGUUGGCCAGCGUUGACUGGGGGUUGUUCUCCACAUCACGUCCCUAAGGGACCAACAGUGUUGGAGGAGUCUCUCUUCUCAUAUUGAUGUUCACCAUGGCAAAGGCAAUGAUCACAGUGAACCACAUGCUACAUUUUAAGCUUCUACCUGGACACCACACAAGUCACUUCCACUCCCAUUUCGGUGGUAAAGCAAGUCAAUUCAAGUCUGACUUCAGCAUCUUUGGGAAAUAUAAUUCCACCCCAGGAGGGGAAGCAGAUAUGGGUGAAAUGUAAUAAAAUUCACCUCUCCAUAAAGUCCUAGUAGCAUUGUUUUAUUUGAGUGAAUUCUUUUUUUUUUUUUCUUCCUUACAGAUCCUCUUUAAAACAUCAGCCUGGAAACAGUAUCUGUAGAAAUCAGUUUUGUUAGUUCUAAAGCAGGGCUUCAUUGUUGGGAUGUGUUGUCUGCCUUCGUUAGCAGAUUUCAAUCAUAGCCCUAAAUGGAAGACACAUUUUAGGGCUGUUGCUGCUAUAGAACUCCAGGUCUUUCUGCUUAACGGUUUCACACUUACGUGUGAAGGGAGGACACCCUUGGCCAAAAGAACCAAGGCUGCUCAGUUAGCUGCUGGUUGUCCUCCAGCAAAUUCCUAGAACUAAAUACCUGGUGCUGAGGUGUCACGACUCAGCAAGUCCUAGAACCUGUGCUUAUGACAGCACUCUGAUAAUUCCCGGUUAUUGCAUCACUCCCUGAUGGAAACCCAGCUUUUAUUUCAGCAAAAGUAAUGGAUUGUUCCAGACCCCUGACCUCCCUUGAAGAUGUCUUUUUGUUGGAUCUGGCCCUGUAUAUUUUCCAGUUGGUUCAAGACCUAGAGAAAUUUCUACAGACUCUCUCAUACCAGAAUGACAAGACCCAAAUGGGAGAAUUAGGCCAGAAGCAACAAUGCCCUCAGGCUUAGUGAAAUUGACCAAAGUUUGAAGAAGUUAUCGCAAACAGUGUGGCCAUUUCUCCUCAGACACUGGACAUCCUACAUCUGUUAUAUGGUUUACCAUCCAUCCACUUCCUUGCUAUAGCUCCAGGUCCACAAUUCUUUGUCAUGUCAUUGCUCUUGACCUAUACCAUGACUGAUAACCAUGUACAUUUUUAAGAAAAAAAUGUAAAUUAAUUAAAAUAAUUUAAAAACACAUAUCCAUAUGGUGUUUGUGCAUAUAUUUUGCUUUUUCUAAUCUUAUCUUUGUAGUUCAAAAAGGUUAAACCUGAAUGUGAUAUGUGUGUGUAUGGAAACUGAAUGCACUAUAGGUUCAAAUAGGCAAGGAAGUUGCUUAGUAACAUCCUGUUCUUGACUGUGCUAUCAUAAUUUGCAUUUUCCAAUAAAGUGUGUUUCCAGCCUUAGGACAGUGCUACUAUUAUUGCUGGUGGAUUUUGUAAUGUAAGCUUGACUCAUUCAGUGUCAAGAUCACCUAAGGCCAAAUUCCCAUUCCACACGAAUUCUCUUUCAAGGGAUGUCCUACCCUUCAAGAUGCCCUUAAGAAUUCUGGAUUCCUUAAAUAUAGAACUAUUUAUGCUUACUCAUAAAACAGGGAAUGUUAUAAUAUUUCUCUGCUUCACUGUGUCCAAGGAAGUAGAGAAAUCUGGUACCAUAUUUAUGAGCAGCAAUAAACCAUGUGUUUUGCUUUUUCCUAAAACAAGCCUGGCAAACUGUUUAAGAACACAUGUGCAGAGCUUGGGCACAGGGUGAGAGUUUGGUGGCACGGAGUGAGGCUAGAGGUGGGCGUGUGGAGAGUCUGAUAUCCUGAUAUCAAAGCAAUUCCAUUCAGACUUAGGCCUGAGCUGCUCCCAGUCAUCCAAGUCAUUUUUACUAAUAUCUGACAACUUGCAAAUAUUGUGUUACGUUCAACACUGAAAAUGAGGACUGUGCAUUUCCUUUUGUCUAAAUGAUGAUUAAAUGGUGAAGCAGCUACAGAAGUAUUGACUAACGACAGCAUCCAUUUACUAGAAAAUAUGUCAUUUGCUACUGCAAACAUUUAUGGUCUGAUUAUACCUCAUGUUACACUGCAAUGGUUUGGGUUUUUUUUUUUUUUUUGUAUUUUUGGUACAUCAGAAACACUUUUCCCAAUGUUUGUUAGUUUAAGCAUUGUUCAACAUUUAUUUAUUAAGCAUUGACUUUAUAAAAUAGGUACCAGGAAUAUGAAAAUGAGUAAGAUAUGUUCCCUGACAUCCAGUAGCUCAUAGUCUAGAGAUGUCACCAUAAUAAUAACUAGCAUUUAUUGGACACCACCUGUGUCUCCUGAAGCCUGUUACCUCAUUUAAUUUUGACAAAACCUUAUGAAGUGAAUAUUAUCACACAAACACACACAUUUAGAGAAUGAAUGUGAGGCUCAGAGAAGUUAAACACAUUGCCCAUGAUCACAGAACCAGUUAGUGGCAGAGUUGGGAUUUAAGCCCAGAUCUUUCUGAUUCUAGAGCGUAUGUUCUAUCUAUGAAGCUCUUACCGAUUUUAUUUUAUAUCAAGUGAACUGUGUAAUACAUAAAGUCACUCAGGAAACAGUACUGGAUGGGGAUUAUGAUACUAGGCAGUGCUUACUCUAGCAAAUAGGUAUCAGAGCCCUGGCAUAGGUCCUCACUUUUGCUAGGAUUCUGUCCUACUCCACCCUUGCUGAUAAACGGGAAGCCACACGUCCUGGUCCAGCACUUAUUCUCAGGCCUCCCAGGGACACUCACUCUCCAUCACGUAGUCUCUUCCCUAAGUAGUCUGUGUUUCCCUCUGCCUUGCGGGUAACUUCAUCUGUGUGUACCAAACCUGUCACCCCUCUUAGUAGUCCUCAAAAGACAAGACUUCAAGGGAGAGUUAAUAUUCUCAGAGUUCAUCAGAAAUACCUGUUUCCAAGGUCAAGACCCACCUUAGAAAGGAGGUCUUCAUAUACCCUGU
rnacentral:lncRNA from 1 species